UACGUAGGGGGCAAGCGUUAUCCGGAUUUACUGGGUGUAAAGGGAGCGUAGACGGCAAGGCAAGUCUGAUGUGAAAACCCAGGGCUUAACCCUGGGACUGCAUUGGAAACUGUCUGGCUCGAGUGCCGGAGAGGUAAGCGGAAUUCCUAGUGUAGCGGUGAAAUGCGUAGAUAUUAGGAAGAACAUCAGUGGCGAAGGCGGCUUACUGGACGGUAACUGACGUUGAGGCUCGAAAGCGUGGGGAGCAAACAGG
rnacentral:rRNA from 1 species